rnacentral:misc_RNA from 1 species
GAUGAAGAACGUAGCGAAAUGCAAUAAGUAAUGUGAAUUGCAGAAUUCAGUGAAUCAUCGAAUCUUUGAACGCACAUUGCGCCCGCCAGUAUUCUGGCGGGCAUGCCUGUCCGAGCGUCAUUUCAACCCUCGAACCCCUCCGGGGGGUCGGCGUUGGGGAUCGGGAACCCCUAAGACGGGAUCCCGGCCCCGAAAUACAGUGGCGGUCUCGCCGCAGCCUCUCCUGCGCAGUAGUUUGCACAACUCGCACCGGGAGCGCGGCGCGUCCACGUCCGUAAAACACCCAACUUCUGAAAUGUUGACCUCGGAUCAGGUAGGAAUACCCGCUGAACUUAAGCAUAUCAAUAAGCGGAGGA